UGGGGAAUUUUCCGCAAUGGGCGAAAGCCCGACGGAGCAAUGCCGCGUGGAGGUGGAAGGCCUACGGGUCGUCAACUUCUUUUCUCGGAGAAGAAACAAUGACGGUAUCUGAGGAAUAAGCAUCGGCUAACUCUGUGCCAG
rnacentral:rRNA from 1 species